rnacentral:rRNA from 1 species
GGCUAACGCUGGCGGCGUGUCUUAGCCAUGCAAGUCGAGCGGACUUAUGGGGUAACUUAUAAGUCAGCGGCGGACGGCGGAGUAACACGUAGCUAACCUACCCUCUGGACGGGGAUAACCUACCGAAAGGUGGGCUAAUACCCGAUGUAGUCAUCCUGUAUAGGGGUGAUGAAAGGUGGGCUUCUGUUUACAAGCUCAUGCUGGAGGAGGGGGCUGCGGCCUAUCAGGUAGUUGGUAGGGUAAUAGCCUACCAAGCCGAUGACGGGUAGCCGGCCUGAGAGGGUGACCGGCCCGAGGGGCACUGAGAUACGGGUCCCACUCCUACGGGAGGCAGCAGGCUAGAAAUUUGGGCAAUGGGGGAAACCCUGACCCAGUGACGCCGCGUGCAGGAAGGAGCCCUUCGGGGUGUAAACUGCUGUCGUGUAGGGAGAAGGGUACUAAGGUGAACAAUCUUAGUACUUGACGGUACUACAGGAGGAAGCCCAGGCUAACCUCGUGCCAGCAGCCGCGGUAAAAUAGACGUACUA